rnacentral:rRNA from 1 species
UACGGGGGGGGCAAGCGUUGUUCGGAAUUACUGGGCGUAAAGGGCGCGUAGGUGGCCUUCUUAGUCAGACGUGAAAUCCCCAGGCUUAACCUGGGAACUGCGUCUGAUACUGGAAGGCUCGAGUUCGGGAGAGGAAUGUGGAAUUCCAGGUGUAGCGGUGAAAUGCGUAGAUAUCUGGAGGAACACCGGUGGCGAAGGCGGCAUCCUGGACCGGUAUUGACGCUGAGGAGCGAAAGCCAGGGGAGCAAACGGG